UACAGAGACUGCAAGCGUUAUCCGGAUUCACUGGGUUUAAAGGGUGCGUAGGUGGGCUAGUAAGUCAGUGGUGAAAUCUCCGGGCUUAACCUGGAACGGUCAAUCGAUACUGCGGGGCUAGAGUGCAGAAGGGGCGACUGGAAUUCUCGGUGUAGCGGUGAAAUGCGUAGAUAUCGAGAGGAACAACUGCGGCGAAGGCGGGUUGCUGGGCUGACACUGACGCUGAGGCGCGAAAGCUAGGGGAGCGAGCGGG
rnacentral:rRNA from 1 species